UACUUGGUUGAUCCUGCCAAGGAAGCACACUUAGGUCAUAGAUUAAGCCAUGCAAGUGUUAGUUCAGGUAACGAAACUGCGAAUAGC
rfam:Trichomonas vaginalis G3, whole genome shotgun sequence.